AACCCUAAAUCCUAAUCCAAACCCUAAACCGAAUCCUAGCCAAACCCUAACCCAAAUCCUAGUAAUUCCUAUGACAGAUUUAAACCUCAAUAUCUAAUGAAUAAAUCGUUGAUCUCAAUUCAAAAUUUUCAAACCUCUUAAAAAUCAAGUUCAAAACAAGCAAAAAUUUUUUGAAAAGGAUCGAAGUAACCGAAUUGACGAAAACCUCAAAAAUGUGUUCGGGUGUUAGCCGACCUCCUUCUCCAAUCUUAUUGCCAACAUUCUAGAGCCAAUUUCUCUUCUUUGCGCCAUUCGAUUGGUUUCAAAUUUCUCAUGGAUAUAGGAAAACAAGUCUUAUAUCCUCUCACACAAGCUUUACUCCAAUCCAACUAGUAGCUUGCAUGAAAUCUUAAAAACCCUCACUGGACCUAAAAUUCUACUUUCUGAGACCUUGAUUCACUUAAACCUCAAUAUCUCUCAGUUCAACUAUUAGAUCAAGCUCAAAUUCACAACAUGUAUUCAACACAACUAUAACCAUGAAUCCAAAAACAUUCACUUGUAGAUCUGCAACAAAACUCUCGAAAUCACUCAAAACAUAAACCCCAUUUUAUUUCAUAAAACCCAAGUCAUCCGAAAAAAAACUCAACUUU
rnacentral:lncRNA from 1 species